GGGCAACGGCCCACCAAGCCGACGAUCGGUAGCCGGACUGAGAGGUUGAACGGCCACAUUGGGACUGAGACACGGCCCAGACUCCUACGGGAGGCAGCAGUGAGGGAUAUUGGUCAAUGGGGGAAACCCUGAACCAGCAACGCCGCGUGAGGGAAGACGGUUUUCGGAUUGUAAACCUCUGUCCUCUGUGAAGAUGAUGACGGUAGCAGAGGAGGAAGCUCCGGCUAACUACGUGCCAGCAGCCGCGGUAAUACGUAGGGAGCAAGCGUUGUCCGGAUUUACUGGGUGUAAAGGGUGCGUAGGCGGCUUUGCAAGUCAGAAGUGAAAUCCAUGGGCUUAACCCAUGAACUGCUUUUGAAACUGCAGAGCUUGAGUGGAGUAGAGGUAGGCGGAAUUCCCGGUGUAGCGGUGAAAUGCGUAGAGAUCGGGAGGAACACCAGUGGCGAAGGCGGCCUGCUGGGCUCUAACUGACGCUGAGGCACGAAAGCGUGGGUAGCAAACAGGAUUAGAUACCCUGGUAGUCCACGCUGUAAACGAUGAUUACUAGGUGUGGGUGGACUGACCCCAUCC
rnacentral:rRNA from 1 species